ensembl:lncRNA
UUAUAGUUUGUAUUUUUUUAUUUCAAACUUCAUAUAACCCAUACAGCAAACUGUACAAUUGAAUUAUUCACAGUGUGUCAAAAGGAAAUAAUUCAAUAGCUUCUUCAUAGUAUUUUGCAUGUCCUGGUGUUUCAACUUGAACGUAGGGUCCUCUAUGUUUUCUUACGACAUAUAGUUACUAGGAAAUCAAAAUCUUUUGGAUUUUUUACAAAACCUUACAAAAACUAUAUUCAUAGAAAGUGUGGGCGUUUUCACAGCGAGAACCUGGAUAGAAUGCUUCCAUCUCGGGUCUCUGACCUUUUGGUCGUCUCUGAACCACCAGCUGUGAACAAAAACUAAACACACGUUCAAAAGGCCUGAAACUCAUCCACAGCAGACGGAGCAGAACACAGCGUCUCACUCCGUACCCCUUCAGUGUCAGAUGACCUCGUUCACAUUCGUUUAGGACAGGAACAAACAAAACAAACCAUUUCCAAACCCAGGAUUAGAGCGAUUGACUCAGCCCAACCCAGACCCUGUCUUCAUCUCAAAUCAUUUCAAAAACCACAUUUUCUUAAGUUACGUUGCACACAUUACAGAGGUGAACACAGGGGGCCAAGGGCUCGGGCAGCCCGGGGCCCAAAAGGUCCACAGGGGGUAAAAAAAUUACUAUAGAGGAACAACAAACCAGCUAAAGAUCUACUGGCUCCCAGGGACAUGGCUACCAAACAAAGCCUACGCUAAAGGGACCGGGAACCACGGACUAGUUCACUCUUAGAAAGAUAUUAGGCGUGAUAAAAGAGAUUUACAUAUACUUUCCCUUGUUAAUGGUCAUAGUCCAUUAGAAUAUAAUAUAAUCUAUUGUAUUUCCAAUAAAUUAACACAGAAUAGGACUGAGACAGUGGAGGAAGAAAUCUUUUGAAAGUAAUAUAAUUGAUGCCACGACUUUCAAACAAACUGAAUGCAUUUAAAAAUUUAGCAAAAUACAUUUUGUUCUGCUUAUUUGUAUCUAUAUACUCUACUCUGCAGAAGGGAAUUAACAUUUAUACAGUAACCAAUUUACACUGGACCAGGUGAUCAGUUUUCACACACAUUGGGUUUACCUUGAAUAAUAGGCAGCUGAUAUUAUUAUUAACACACAACCUCUCGACUUAAAAGGCAGGACUUAGUCUUGACUUAAAGAACAGGACUAACUUAAGUCAGGAAACAGCAGAUUUGACUUAUAAGGCAUGACAGUGUCAUCCUCAGCAGACAUUGUUGUCUUGACUUAAACAGCAUGACAAAGUGGUUCGAACUUAAAAGGCAUGACAAAGUUUCGACUUAAAAAUCUUGACUUAUUAGUAUUGACUUAAAAUUAAGAAUGAAGACAUUUUUACUUAAAAUACAUGACAUCGUAGUCUUGCCUUAAAAAGUAGGACUUCAGUCGUUUUCUUGACAAAGGCAGAAAAUAUUCUUGACUUAAAAAGUAAGACGAAGUGGUCUUCAAUUUUAAGUCAGGACAUAUUCUUGACAUAAAGGUAUGACUAAGUGGUCAUAACUUAUAAGUCAGGACAUAUUCCUGACAUAAAGGUAUGACUAAGUGGAUGUAACUUAUAAGAUCUGACAUAUUCUUGACUUAAAAGGCAUAACUUAGUUGUCUUGACCUAAGAGGCAGGACUUUUUCUUGGUUAAAAAAAUCAAGAAAGCAGUCUUCACAUAAACAUCUCAAACUGUUUCAACUGACCAUCUCUUCCAUCUUGACUGACUUAGUAUAUUGACUUAUUGAUCUUGACAGUUUAAGUCAAGACUUAUCGAUCUUGACUGUUUUGGAGUGGUUUAGGUUUAAGUCUUAACCUCACAGAGGUUUGUUCUGUCUGUUAAACUAGACUCAAAACUUAUACGGAACCAGAACUCAGAAACCCAAUUAUUAAAAAACCUGAUGCUGCCGUUGAACCAAAAUACAGUAAAAUCAAAAUGAGACCACAGUUCAUCCUUCACAGAUCAACGUGACAAGCGAACCCAUUGGCGGAGAGGGGAACCAAUAUGAACUGUAAUACUAGUAAUACUAGUAAUACCAAUAAUGUUAGUAAAAGUACUCGUCCUAGUAUAAUGCUAGAGGGGUCUAGAGGGUAAGAGGCUAGGUAAGCUUGCUGAUUGGUCGCUGGGGCCAGGUGUUGCUGAACACUCGGACCACACUCGACAGCUUCCCUUCCAGACACCUACUGCAGUGCCUCUGACAGUCCUCUGACAGUCAACCGCAGGGCUUCUGUUAGAAGUUGCUGGAUUUGCUUCGGUUGGUUCCCUAUUGUACUGGAGUUUUUACCCUUUUCUCCAUAAUUAUUAUAGUCAUCAUCAUCGUCCCCAUCAUCAUCACCACCGUUAUUGUUCUGUUCAUCAGUGGUUGUAUGCAUACAGGUAUGUGCGUUAAGUUGUUACAUUGAUGAAUUGAGUGCGAGCGCGAGUCCCCAGUCAGUGGUUUACACAAGACGCUGCGUUGGACCUCCGAGUCGAAUGGGACCAGGGAGACGCGCUGAGAUCCAGGUAGAAAAGUUCUACUAAAAGGUCAUCUUUGGCAAUUGUACUUUACUUGGACCAAGAUCUUUUAACAGUGAAAGAAAACAAGAAAUCAACCCACAAUGAAGGCAAACUUCUAAUGUAUUCUUGUUAAAAUUAUUCUGCCCCAACACAAACGAAGAAUUACAUUAGAUGAUUUUGUACAACAUAAGAUAACUCUUAUUAUUUUUGUAGGUACAUUUCAAACCUUGAAUCAAUCCUUCUAUGCAACAAUAUUGAAGUCGAGGUCUGUUGUUUCGACACUAUUCACUGUUGAAUGGAUCCUACUGGUAAUUACUAACGUCUCCAAAGUCUGCGCCAUGUUUGACCAAAUGGCUUCCGUCAACCAUGGCUCUUCUGUCUCUUCUGGUUGGCGGACCACACUGAGGUAUUUCUCUGCCCUCUGCUGCCCCAGAUGUCCGGUCGCUCGGUCUACAAAAGGGUUCAUGUUGAAUGUGCUGUGUGGCGUCCUCGUGCAUCUCUUAUUGCUCCGCCUUUCACCGUGUCCAGAACACGCCCCCCUCUCUGACUCACCCGGUGCUCAGUGUUCCUGUCAGUUCUAAACGUUCCUGUGUUGGUUCUAAUGGUUCCUGUGUCGGUUCUGAAGGUUCCGGCAGUGGUUCUAACUCACUGUUGGGUUUGUGUUCGCACACGUAAACAUCAGACAUGAAGUCGGACGGUCAGGGAGAAUCCCGCCUCUGGUCGGGGCAUCCCGCCGGGAGGGGCAGGGGUGGGAGGGAGAGGGGGAGAGGGAGGGAAGAGGGGGAGG